GACGAACGCUGGCGGCGUGCCUAAUACAUGCAAGUUGAGCGCUGAAGGUUGGUACUUGUGCCAACUGGAUGAGCAGCGAACGGGUGAGUAACGCGUGGGGAAUCUGCCUUUGAGCGGGGGACAACAUUUGGAAACGAAUGCUAAUACCGCAUAAAAACUUUAAACACAAGUUUUAAGUUUGAAAGAUGCAAUUGCAUCACUCAAAGAUGAUCCCGCGUUGUAUUAGCUAGUUGGUGAGGUAAAGGCUCACCAAGGCGAUGAUACAUAGCCGACCUGAGAGGGUGAUCGGCCAAAUUGGGAAUGAGACACGGCCCAAACUCCUACGGGAGGCAGCAGUAGGGAAUCUUCGGCAAUGGACGAAAGUCUGACCGAGCAACGCCGCGUGAGUGAAGAAGGUUUUCGGAUCGUAAAACUCUGUUGGUAGAGAAGAACGUUGGUGAGAGUGGAAAGCUCAUCAAGUGACGGUAACUACCCAGAAAGGGACGGCUAACUACGUG
rnacentral:rRNA from 1 species